rnacentral:rRNA from 1 species
CCCCCCACCCCCCCCCCCCCUCCCUCCCGCCCGCCGCCGCGCGAUUCCUUAGUCUUCGAUCCUGGCUCACAUUGACGCUGGCGGCAGGCCUAACACAUGCCGUCGAACGGUAACAGGAAGCAGCUUGCUGCUUCGCUGACGAGUGGCGGACGGGUGAGUAAUGUCUGGGAAACUGCCUGAUGGAGGGGGAUAACUACUGGAAACGGUAGCUAAUACCGCAUAACGUCGCAAGACCAAAGAGGGGGACCUUCGGGCCUCUUGCCAUCGGAUGUGCCCAGAUGGGAUUAGCUAGUAGGUGGGGUAACGGCUCACCUAGGCGACGAUCCCUAGCUGGUCUGAGAGGAUGACCAGCCACACUGGAACUGAGACACGGUCCAGACUCCUACGGGAGGCAGCAGUGGGGAAUAUUGCACAAUGGGCGCAAGCCUGAUGCAGCCAUGCCGCGUGUAUGAAGAAGGCCUUCGGGUUGUAAAGUACUUUCCCCGGGGAGGAAGGGAGUAAAGUUAUACCUUUGCUCAUUGACGUUACCCCCCCAAAAGCACCGGCUAACUCCUGCCACAGCCGCGGUAAUACGGAGGGUGCAAGCGUAAUCGGAAUUACUGGGCGUAAAGCCACCCCACGCCGGUUUGUUAACUCCAAUGUGAAAUCCCCGGGCUCACCCGGGCAACCUGCAUCUCAAUACGGCCAGCUCGAAUCUCUUCAGGGGGGUAAAAUCCCGGUGUACCCGGAAAUGCGUUAAAUCUCGCGGAAUACGGUGGCAAAGGGGCCCCGCGACAAAACGACCCCAGGGG